rnacentral:misc_RNA from 1 species
CACCACUCAAGCCUAGCUUGGUAUUGGGCGUCGCGGCGUCAAGUCGCGCGCCUCAAAGUCUUUCCGGCUGAGCUGUCCGUCUCCCAGCGUUGUGAUCUAAUCGAAUCGCUACGGAGUUUGAACAGCCGCGGCCGUUAAAUCUUUCUUAACA